rnacentral:rRNA from 1 species
AUUGAACGCUGGCGGCAUGCCUUACACAUGCAAGUCGAACGGCAGCACGGGAGCAAUCCUGGUGGCGAGUGGCGAACGGGUGAGUAAUGUAUCGGAACGUACCUUUCAGUGGGGGAUAACGUAGCGAAAGUUACGCUAAUACCGCAUAUUCUGUGAGCAGGAAAGCAGGGGAUCGCAAGACCUUGCGCUGAUUGAGCGGCCGAUAUCAGAUUAGCUAGUUGGUGAGGUAAGGGCUCACCAAGGCGACGAUCUGUAGCGGGUCUGAGAGGAUGAUCCGCCACACUGGAACUGAGACACGGUCCAGACUCCUACGGGAGGCAGCAGUGGGGAAUUUUGGACAAUGGGGGCAACCCUGAUCCAGCCAUGCCGCGUGAGUGAAGAAGGCCUUCGGGUUGUAAAGCUCUUUCAGCCGGGAAGAAAUCACAUGGGUUAAUACCCUGUGUGGAUGACGGUACCGGAAUAAGAAGCACCGGCUAACUACGUGCCAGCAGCCGCGGUAAUACGUAGGGUGCGAGCGUUAAUCGGAAUUACUGGGCGUAAAGCGUGCGCAGGCGGUUUGUUAAGAUAGGCGUGAAAUCCCCGGGCUCAACCUGGGAACUGCGUUUAUGACUGGCAGGCUAGAGUAUGGCAGAGGGGGGUGGAAUUCCACGUGUAGCAGUGAAAUGCGUAGAGAUGUGGAGGAACACCGAUGGCGAAGGCAGCCCCCUGGGCCAAUACUGACGCUCAUGCACGAAAGCGUGGGUAGCAAACAGGA